GGAUUAGAUACCCUGGUAGUCCACGCCGUAAACGAUGUCUACUAGCCGUUGGGAAACUUGAUUUCUUAGUGGCGCAGCUAACGCACUAAGUAGACCGCCUGGGGAGUACGGCCGCAAGGUUAAAACUCAAAUGAAUUGACGGGGGCCCGCACAAGCGGUGGAGCAUGUGGUUUAAUUCGAUGCAACGCGAAGAACCUUACCUGGUCUUGACAUCCACAGAACUUUCCAGAGAUGGAUUGGUGCCUUCGGGAACUGUGAGACAGGUGCUGCAUGGCUGUCGUCAGCUCGUGCCG
rnacentral:rRNA from 1 species